GGCGUCUAAUACUGGAUACGAACCACGGCCGCAUGGUCAGUGGUUGGAAAGAUUUAUUGGUUGGGGAUGGGCUCGCGGCCUAUCAGCUUGUUGGUGAGGUAAUGGCUCACCAAGGCGUCGACGGGUAGCCGGCCUGAGAGGGUGACCGGCCACACUGGGACUGAGACACGGCCCAGACUCCUACGGGAGGCAGCAGUGGGGAAUAUUGCACAAUGGGCGCAAGCCUGAUGCAGCAACGCCGCGUGAGGGAUGACGGCCUUCGGGUUGUAAACCUCUUUUAGCAGGGAAGAAGCGAAAGUGACGGUACCUGCAGAAAAAGCGCCGGCUAACUACGUGCCAGCAGCCGCGGUAAUACGUAGGGCGCAAGCGUUAUCCGGAAUUAUUGGGCGUAAAGAGCUCGUAGGCGGUUUGUCGCGUCUGCUGUGAAAUCCGGAGGCUCAACCUCCGGCCUGCAGUGGGUACGGGCAGACUAGAGUGCGGUAGGGGAGAUUGGAAUUCCUGGUGUAGCGGUGGAAUGCGCAGAUAUCAGGAGGAACACCGAUGGC
rnacentral:rRNA from 1 species